rnacentral:rRNA from 1 species
CCUACGGGGGGCAGCAGUGAGGAAUAUUGGUCAAUGGACGAGAGUCUGAACCAACCAAGUAGCGUGAAGGAUGACUGCCCUAUGGGUUGUAAACUUCUUUUAUAUGGGAAUAAAAUGUUCCACGUGUGGGAUUUUGUAUGUACCAUAUGAAUAAGGAUCGGCUAACUCCGUGCCAGCAGCCGCGGUAAUACGGAGGAUCCGAGCGUUAUCCGGAUUUAUUGGGUUUAAAGGGAGCGUAGGUGGAUUGUUAAGUCAGUUGUGAAAGUUUGCGGCUCAACCGUAAAAUUGCAGUUGAAACUGGCAGUCUUGAGUACAGUAGAGGUGGGCGGAAUUCGUGGUGUAGCGGUGAAAUGCUUAGAUAUCACGAAGAACUCCGAUUGCGAAGGCAGUUCACUGGACUGCAACUGACACUGAGGCUCGAAAGUGUGGGUAUCAAACAGGAUUAGAUACCCUAGUAGUC